rnacentral:siRNA from 1 species
CACAUGAAGAAAGUGAAUGAUG